CCUACGGGAGGCAGCAGUAGGGAAUCUUCCACAAUGGGCGAAAGCCUGAUGCAGCAACGCCGCGUGGGUGAAGAAGGUCUUCGGAUUGUAAAACACUGUUGUUAGAGAAGAAAGAGCGUGAGCGUAACUGUUCAUGUUUCGACGGUAUCUAACCAGAAAGCCACGGCUAACUCCGAGCCAGCCGCCGCGGUAAUACGUAGGUGGCAAGCGUUAACCGGAUUUAUUGGGCGUAAAGGGAACGCAGUCGGUCUUUUAAGUCUGAUGUGAAAGCCUUCGGCUUAACCGGAGUAAUGCAUUGGAAACUGGGAGACUUGAGUGCAGAAGAGGAGAGUGGAACUCCAGGUGUAGCGGUGGAAUGCGUAGAGAUAUGGAAGAACACCGGUGGCGAAAGCGGCUCUCUGGUCUGUAACUGACGCUGAGGUUCGAAAGUGUGGGUAGCAAACAGGAUUAGAUACCCGAGUAGUC
rnacentral:rRNA from 1 species